rnacentral:rRNA from 1 species
UACGAAGGGGGCUAGCGUUGCUCGGAAUUACUGGGCGCAAAGGGCGCGUAGGCGGACAGUUUAGUCAGAGGUGAAAGCCCAGGGCUCAACCUUGGAAUUGCCUUUGAUACUGGCUGUCUUGAGUUCGGGAGAGGUGAGUGGAAUGCCGAGUGUAGAGGUGAAAUUCGUAGAUAUUCGGCGGAACACCAGUGGCGAAGGCGACUCACUGGCCCGAUACUGACGCUGAGGCACGAAAGCGUGGGGAGCAAACAGG